rnacentral:rRNA from 1 species
CCUACGGGUGGCAGCAGUGGGGAAUAUUGCACAAUGGGGGGAACCCUGAUGCAGCGACGCCGCGUGGGUGAAGAAGUAUUUCGGUAUGUAAAGCUCUAUCAGCAGGAACGAGACAAGACGGUACCUGACUAAGAAGCCCCGGCUAACUACGUGCCAGCAGCCGCGGUAAUACGAAGGGGGCAAGCGUUGUCCGGAAUCACUGGGUGUAAAGGGAGCGUAGACGGCUGAGCAAGUCUGAAGUGAAAGGCGGGGGCCCAACCCCCGGACUGCUUUGGGAACUGUACGGCUGGAGUGCAGGAGAGGUAAGUGGAAUUCCUAGUGUAGCGGUGAAAUGCGUAGAUAUUAGGAGGAACACCGAUUGCGAAGGCAGCUUACUAAACUGCCACUGACAUUGAUGCUCGAAAGUGUGGGUAUCAAACAGGAUUAGAUACCCUGGUAGUC